GGUUUCUGGUAGGUCAUUUUUUUUCAUCAAGCUUUUCGUCUUUCUUCGUUGAAGUCUCACGGACUCCUCCAUCUCGAGUGCUGCUUCUCACGCCGUCUAGGACCUGUCUCGAUGCCGCUGCGUCUCUGCCUCCCCUCUGGGCCUCCAACGACUCCGUGCUGCAUCUACUCCUUUAUGAGGGGCUCUGUAUCUUCUCCUUUGACUCAUUAUACUAUGCGACUCCAUAUUUAUUUUCCUUCUCUAUCUGUCGCCGGCAAUGGUGGUUGAGCCUCUUGGAUCUGCUCUGCUCUGAGUGACGUGUCUGUUACGUUGAGUCUGUUUGACUGGCAAGCUAUAUCUUUUCACAGCAAGCUAGAAAGUCUUCGGUGAUCCUAAGGUUGUUAACAAGUAUCAACUCCAAGAUUGUAGGAGGGCAUCUGUUCUUGAACGCCACAUCAGGGACCCAUAUAACUUUCGACAAAGAGAUUAAUUUGAUCUCAGUUUGUUAGUUUACUUAUUCAUCACAUAAUUAGCGAAUUCCUGCACAACACUGUAUGCUGUUUUCCAUUGACAUUGGCAUUACUCCAGCAUCUUCAUUACUGAGGGGCUACACUAAGCUUGAGCCUCUAACCAUAGCUGAAAUGAGUUCAUCAUCACUGCCCAGCCACAGGAUAUCGCCUUCAUAUGCACCGGUAGGGGCACUGGGAUCAAGAUGGACAAAGGCUGGUGUUACGUCUCUUUCUCCAUGUGUACAAAGAAGCUUUAGCGGACUGUAUCAAGAUACAAACAUUGUAUGACUACGUUGAUUCACUUGGAUGCUAGAAACAGAAGAGUAUAGCUUAAUCACAAACUUUCCAAGAAGUAUGGAAGAGACAAAGAGUCAAUGUCACUGAAAGAUGCAGGUUUGCAUCCUCAGGCAAGUCUCUUCAUUGAGAUAAACUAAGUUUCAGAUUCUUCUGUUUCUUUCUCCUUAAGUCACUCUUUUUCCAUUUUUUUCAUCUCUUUUAAAAUAAUUAGUAGUGUUGCUUCAGUGAUCCGAUGAACAAGAUAACAUAUAUACACAUAUAUUCAGAAGUUGUGUCACAUAUUUGAUAUAUUUAGUUCUUAAAAUGA